AACAAACUUAAUACGUGCUAAGUCGAAGCAUUGGCCUCCAGGGUGUUGGUAUGCUUCUUGAAGGUAUAUUUGGUGCUGCAGCUGGUUCGACUGCAUCAGUUGAAAAUGUUGGACUUCUGGGAUUGACACGCGUUGGAAGUAGGAGAAUCGUGCAGAUAUCGGCUGGUUUUAUGAUAUUCUUCUCCAUCUUC